ACUAAGCGUACACGGUGGAUGCCCUGGCAGUCAGAGGCGAUGAAGGACGUGCUAAUCUGCGAAAAGCGUCGGUAAGGUGAUAUGAACCGUUAUAACCGGCGAUGUCCGAAUGGGGAAACCCAGUGCAAUUCGUUGCACUAUCGUUAACUGAAUACAUAGGUUAACGAGGCGAACCGGGGGAACUGAAACAUCUAAGUACCCCGAGGAAAAGAAAUCAACCGAGAUUCCCCCAGUAGCGGCGAGCGAACGGGGAGCAGCCCAGAGUCUGAAUCAGCUUGUGUGUUAGUGGAACGGUCUGGAAAGUCCGACGGUACAGGGUGAUAGUCCCGUACACCAAAAUGCACAGGUUGUGAACUCGAAGAGUAGGGCGGGACACGUGGUAUCCUGUCUGAAUAUGGGGGGACCAUCCUCCAAGGCUAAAUACUCCUGACUGACCGAUAGUGAACCAGUACCGUGAGGGAAAGGCGAAAAGAACCCCGGCGAGGGGAGUGAAAAAGAACCUGAAACCGUGUACGUACAAGCAGUGGGAGCACCUUCGGGUGUGACUGCGUACCUUUUGUAUAAUGGGUCAGCGACUUAUAUUCUGUAGCAAGGUUAACCGUAUAGGGGAGCCGCAGGGAAACCGAGUCUUAACUGGGCGUUAAGUUGCAGGGUAUAGACCCGAAACCCGGUGAUCUAGCCAUGGGCAGGUUGAAGGUUGGGUAACACUAACUGGAGGACCGAACCGACUAAUGUUGAAAAAUUAGCGGAUGACUUGUGGCUGGGGGUGAAAGGCCAAUCAAACCGGGAGAUAGCUGGUUCUCCCCGAAAGCUAUUUAGGUAGCGCCUCGUGAACUCAUCUUCGGGGGUAGAGCACUGUUUCGGCUAGGGGGUCAUCCCGACUUACCAACCCGAUGCAAACUACGAAUACCGAAGAAUGUUAUCACGGGAGACACACGGCGGGUGCUAACGUCCGUCGUGAAGAGGGAAACAACCCAGACCGCCAGCUAAGGUCCCAAAGUCAUGGUUAAGUGGGAAACGAUGUGGGAAGGCACAGACAGCCAGGAUGUUGGCUUAGAAGCAGCCAUCAUUUAAAGAAAGCGUAAUAGCUCACUGGUCGAGUCGGCCUGCGCGGAAGAUGUAACGGGGCUAAACCAUGCACCGAAGCUGCGGCAGCGACACUAUGUGUUGUUGGGUAGGGGAGCGUUCUGUAAGCCUGCGAAGGUGACCUGUGAGGGUUGCUGGAGGUAUCAGAAGUGCGAAUGCUGACAUAAGUAACGAUAAAGCGGGUGAAAAGCCCGCUCGCCGGAAGACCAAGGGUUCCUGUCCAACGUUAAUCGGGGCAGGGUGAGUCGACCCCUAAGGCGAGGCCGAAAGGCGUAGUCGAUGGGAAACAGGUUAAUAUUCCUGUACUUGGUGUUACUGCGAAGGGGGGACGGAGAAGGCUAUGUUAGCCGGGCGACGGUUGUCCCGGUUUAAGCAUGUAGGCUGAUUGUCCAGGCAAAUCCGGAUAAUCAAGGCUGAGGUGUGAUGACGAGGCACUACGGUGCUGAAGUAACAAAUGCCCUGCUUCCAGGAAAAGCCUCUAAGCAUCAGGUAACAUCAAAUCGUACCCCAAACCGACACAGGUGGUCAGGUAGAGAAUACCAAGGCGCUUGAGAGAACUCGGGUGAAGGAACUAGGCAAAAUGGUGCCGUAACUUCGGGAGAAGGCACGCUGGUGUGUAGGUGAAGCCCCUGCGGGUGGAGCUGAGACCAGUCGAAGAUACCAGCUGGCUGCAACUGUUUAUUAAAAACACAGCACUGUGCAAACACGAAAGUGGACGUAUACGGUGUGACGCCUGCCCGGUGCCGGAAGGUUAAUUGAUGGGGUUAUCCGUAAGGAGAAGCUCUUGAUCGAAGCCCCGGUAAACGGCGGCCGUAACUAUAACGGUCCUAAGGUAGCGAAAUUCCUUGUCGGGUAAGUUCCGACCUGCACGAAUGGCGUAAUGAUGGCCAGGCUGUCUCCACCCGAGACUCAGUGAAAUUGAACUCGCUGUGAAGAUGCAGUGUACCCGCGGCAAGACGGAAAGACCCCGUGAACCUUUACUAUAGCUUGACACUGAACAUUGAGCCUUGAUGUGUAGGAUAGGUGGGAGGCUUUGAAGCGUGGACGCCAGUCUGCGUGGAGCCAACCUUGAAAUACCACCCUUUAAUGUUUGAUGUUCUAACGUUGGCCCCUGACCGGGGUUGCGGACAGUGUCUGGUGGGUAGUUUGACUGGGGCGGUCUCCUCCCAAAGCGUAACGGAGGAGCACGAAGGUUAGCUAAUCCUGGUCGGACAUCAGGAGGUUAGUGCAAUGGCAUAAGCUAGCUUGACUGCGAGCGUGACGGCGCGAGCAGGUGCGAAAGCAGGUCAUAGUGAUCCGGUGGUUCUGAAUGGAAGGGCCAUCGCUCAACGGAUAAAAGGUACUCCGGGGAUAACAGGCUGAUACCGCCCAAGAGUUCAUAUCGACGGCGGUGUUUGGCACCUCGAUGUCGGCUCAUCACAUCCUGGGGCUGAAGUAGGUCCCAAGGGUAUGGCUGUUCGCCAUUUAAAGUGGUACGCGAGCUGGGUUUAGAACGUCGUGAGACAGUUCGGUCCCUAUCUGCCGUGGGCGCUGGAGAAUUGAGGGGGGCUGCUCCUAGUACGAGAGGACCGGAGUGGACGCAUCACUGGUGUUCGGGUUGUCAUGCCAAUGGCACUGCCCGGUAGCUAAAUGCGGAAGAGAUAAGUGCUGAAAGCAUCUAAGCACGAAACUUGCCCCGAGAUGAGUUCUCCCUGAGACUUUAAGUCUCCUGAAGGAACGUUAAAGACGAUGACGUUGAUAGGCCGGGUGUGUAAGCGCAGCGAUGCGUUGAGCUAACCGGUACUAAUGAACCGUGAGGCUUAACC
rnacentral:rRNA from 1 species